rnacentral:rRNA from 1 species
CCCUUAGAUGUUCUGGGCUGCACGCGCGCUACACUGACACACUCAGCGAGUCACCUGAUCUGAGAAGACCGGGCAAUCAUGUGAGCGUGUGUCGUGAUGGGGAUAGAAUAUUGUAAUUAUUACUCUUCAACGAGGAAUUCCUAGUAAGCGCGAGUCAGCAGCUCGCGCUGAUUACGUCCCUGCCCUUUGUACACACCGCCCGUCGCUACUACCGAUUGAAUGGUUUAGUGAGAUCUUCGGAUUGGCGCCACUGCGGCUCAGCAAUGGGCUCGGUGGAUGCCGAAAAGUUGAUCAAACUUGAUCAUUUAGAGGAAGUAAAAGUCGUAACA